rnacentral:rRNA from 1 species
CUAAACGACUCUCGGCAACGGAUAUCUCGGCCUCUCGCAUCGAUGAAGAACGUAGCGAAAUGCGAUAUUUGGUGUGAAUUGCAGAAUCCCGUGAACCAUCGAGUUUUUGAACGCAAGUUGCGCCCGAAGCCAUUAGGCCAAGGGCACGUCUGCCUGGGCGUCACAC